CUGGAAACAUUGUGCAGCAAUUGCCCUCAACAGUUUAUUUUACAACCUAGCAACAAUGUAUAUUUCCGCUUCCUGCCUCAGCACAUUCAUAAUCAACAAGAAGUAUUGUUUUCCCUGCAGUUAUUCUUCACCUAGUUACGCAUCCUUUGUGACCUUUUCCACAUGAAUCAAACACCAGAGAUUAAGCCUAAAGGAUUUGGUAUACCUCUGUUAAGGCCUGAAGAUGUGUUUGCCUGGAGUAACUACAGCCCUCUACAAACAAAAAAUGAAAGUCGGAAAGUGAAGAAU
rnacentral:lncRNA from 1 species